AUUCUUCACAUAGAACUCCCAUUCACAUUACGGUGUUUCACACAAACACAGACUCAUUCUCUCUGCUGAACUACAAUUAGAUUUCAGCAUUCAAUCUUUCUUCUUCUCAAAUAAUACCAAUUACAUUUCCAUUCCAUAAUUUACUUCACAAUAUUCAGAAACUCUCAAUCCUCUUAUUCAAAGAAAAUAACAAACAAAAGAAAAGAGGUAGUACCAAGCUUACUCUGGCUCACAACUAUCAUAGCGAUGGCCCUCGGCUCAUGACUAUCACAAUUUGGCAUCUUAAUUAACUUCUAAAACUCCUAUAUACUUUCCCUUGAUUCUCUAGAUUCUAACCAUAAUUCUGUAAUUAACCGCUUUUAAAAACUAAAUCACUCAU
rnacentral:lncRNA from 1 species